UGAGGAAUAUUGGUCAAUGGACGAGAGUCUGAACCAGCCAAGUAGCGUGCAGGAUGACGGCCCUAUGGGUUGUAAACUGCUUUUGUUUGGGAAUAAUCGACAUUACGUGUAAUGUUUUGCAUGUACCAUUCGAAUAAGGACCGGCUAAUUCCGUGCCAGCAGCCGCGGUAAUACGGAAGGUCCAGGCGUUAUCCGGAUUUAUUGGGUUUAAAGGGAGUGUAGGCGGUUGGUUAAGCGUGUUGUGAAAUGUAGAUGCUCAACAUCUGACUUGCAGCGCGAACUGGCUGACUUGAGUACACACAACGUAGGCGGAAUUCAUGGUGUAGCGAUGAAAUGCUUAGAUAUCAUGACGAACUCCGAUUGCGAAGGCAGCUUACGGGAGCGCAACUGACGCUAAAGCUCGAAGGUGCGGGUAUCGAACAGG
rnacentral:rRNA from 1 species